rnacentral:rRNA from 1 species
AAAUUGAAGAGUUUGAUCAUGGCUCAGAUUGAACGCUGGCGGCAGGCCUAACACAUGCAAGUCGAACGGUAACAGGAAGCAGCUUGCUGCUUUGCUGACGAGUGGCGGACGGGUGAGUAAUGUCUGGGAAACUGCCUGAUGGAGGGGGAUAACUACUGGAAACGGUAGCUAAUACCGCAUAAUGUCGCAAGACCAAAGAGGGGGACCUUCGGGCCUCUUGCCAUCGGAUGUGCCCAGAUGGGAUUAGCUAGUAGGUGGGGUAACGGCUCACCUAGGCGACGAUCCCUAGCUGGUCUGAGAGGAUGACCAGCCACACUGGAACUGAGACACGGUCCAGACUCCUACGGGAGGCAGCAGUGGGGAAUAUUGCACAAUGGGCGCAAGCCUGAUGCAGCCAUGCCGCGUGUAUGAAGAAGGCCUUCGGGUUGUAAAGUACUUUCAGCGGGGAGGAAGGGAGUAAAAGUUAAUACCUUUACUCAUUGACGUUACCCGCAGAAGAAGCACCGGCUAACUCCGUGCCAGCAGCCGCGGUAAUACGGAGGGUGCAAGCGUUAAUCGGAAUUACUGGGCGUAAAGCGCACGCAGGCGGUUUGUUAAGUCAGAUGUGAAAUCCCCGGGCUCAACCUGGGAACUGCAUCUGAUACUGGCAAGCUUGAGUCUCGUAGAGGGGGGUAGAAUUCCAGGUGUAGCGGUGAAAUGCGUAGAGAUCUGGAGGAAUACCGGUGGCGAAGGCGGCCCCCUGGACGAAGACUGACGCUCAGGUGCGAAAGCGUGGGGAGCAAACAGGAUUAGAUACCCUGGUAGUCCACGCCGUAAACGAUGUCGACUUGGAGGUUGUGCCCUUGAGGCGUGGCUUCCGGAGCUAACGCGUUAAGUCGACCGCCUGGGGAGUACGGCCGCAAGGUUAAAACUCAAAUGAAUUGACGGGGGCCCGCACAAGCGGUGGAGCAUGUGGUUUAAUUCGAUGCAACGCGAAGAACCUUACCUGGUCUUGACAUCCACGGAAGUUUUCAGAGAUGAGAAUGUGCCUUCGGGAACCGUGAGACAGGUGCUGCAUGGCUGUCGUCAGCUCGUGUUGUGAAAUGUUGGGUUAAGUCCCGCAACGAGCGCAACCCUUAUCCUUUGUUGCCAGCGGUCCGGCCGGGAACUCAAAGGAGACUGCCAGUGAUAAACUGGAGGAAGGUGGGGAUGACGUCAAGUCAUCAUGGCCCUUACGACCAGGGCUACACACGUGCUACAAUGGCGCAUACAAAGAGAAGCGACCUCGCGAGAGCAAGCGGACCUCAUAAAGUGCGUCGUAGUCCGGAUUGGAGUCUGCAACUCGACUCCAUGAAGUCGGAAUCGCUAGUAAUCGUGGAUCAGAAUGCCACGGUGAAUACGUUCCCGGGCCUUGUACACACCGCCCGUCACACCAUGGGAGUGGGUUGCAAAAGAAGUAGGUAGCUUAACCUUCGGGAGGGCGCUUACCACUUUGUGAUUCAUGACUGGGGUGAAGUCGUAACAAGGUAACCGUAGGGGAACCUGCGGUUGGAUCACCUCCUUACCUUAAAGAA